CCCUUAGAUGUCCUGGGCCGCACGCGCGCUACACUGAGUGUCUGAGAUACGAGUCUGCCUGGUCCGGCAAGGUCUAGGUAAUCGCUAAAAGACACAUCAUGCUUGGGAUAGAUUAUUGCAAAUAUUAAUCUUGAACGAGGAGUUCCUAGUAAGCGCAAGUCAACAGCUUGCGUUGAUUACGUCCCUGCCCUUUGUACACACCGCCCGUCGCUACUACUGAUUGGAUGUUUAAGCGAGGUUCUCGAACUGCUAGCGACUUAGCUUCGGUGAGGUCGCAGUGUGGGAAGUGAACCGAGCUUUGGUGUCUAGAGGAAGUAAAAGUCGUAACA
rnacentral:rRNA from 1 species